rnacentral:rRNA from 1 species
GAUGAACGCUGGCGGCGUGCUUAACACAUGCAAGUCGAACGAAGCACUUUACUUGAUUUCUUCGGAAUGAUUGUUCUGUGACUGAGUGGCGGACGGGUGAGUAACGCGUGGGUAACCUACCUCGUACAGGGGGAUAACAGUUGGAAACGACUGCUAAUACCGCAUAAGCGCACAGAGUUGCAUGACUCAGUGUGAAAAACUCAGGUGGUAUGAGAUGGACCCGCGUCUGAUUAGCUAGUUGGUGGGGCAACGGCCUACCAAGGCGACGAUCAGUAGCCGACCUGAGAGGGUGACCGGCCACAUUGGGACUGAGACACGGCCCAAACUCCUACGGGAGGCAGCAGUGGGGAAUAUUGCACAAUGGGGGAGACCCUGAUGCAGCGACGCCGCGUGAGCGAUGAAGUAUUUCGGUAUGUAAAGCUCUAUCAGCAGGGAAGAAAAAAUGACGGUACCUGACUAAGAAGCACCGGCUAAAUACGUGCCAGCAGCCGCGGUAA